GGUAAUCUAAAGCCAUUAGAUCAAGAAACUGAAAAAAUUCCAUGGUAAAUAAUCUGAACAAUCAAGAAACUGUGGGAGGCAUAUCAGCCUUUGGGGUUCUAAGCUACAUGUGAAUUCAAGUUUACAGGUAAAAACACAACAGAGAAUUGGGAAUAUCCAUAUGAAAACACUUAGUUUGGUUGCCAACCAAGGAACAUUAACUUUGUCCCCUUUCUUCCUUCCUUUCUUUCUUUCUUUCUUUCUUUCUUUCUUUCUUUCUUUCUUUCUUUCUUUCUUUCUUUCUCUCUCUCUCUCUCUCUCUCUCUCUCUUUCUUUCUUUCUUUCUUUUAAAUUAGGUAUUUAUUUCAUUUACAUUUCCAAUGCUAUCCUAAAAGUCCCCCAGAGGCUC
rnacentral:lncRNA from 1 species